AGGGUGCUUCUUCUUCGAAGAAGUAACCCGGCGGACGGCUCAGUAACACGUGGAUAACUUGCCCUUGGGUCCGGGAUAACCCCUGAGAAAUUGGGGACAAUACCGGAUAGGGCAUCGAUUGCUGGAAUGCGCGAUGUCCAAAAGCUGAGGCGCCCAAGGAUAGGUCUGCGGCCGAUUAGGUUGUUGUUGAUGUAAUGGAUCAACAAGCCUGCAAUCGGUACGGGUUGUGAGAGCAAGAGCCCGGAGAUGGGUUCUGAGAAAAGAACCCAGGUCCUACGGGACGCAUCAGGCGCGAAAACUUUACAAUGUGCGAAAGCACGAUAAGGGAACUCUGAGUGCCUCCUAUGGAGGCUGUUCAGGUGUCUAAAAAGCACUUGAAGUAAGGGCUGGGUAAGACCGGUGCCAGCCGCCGCGGUAACACCGGCAGCCCAAGUGGUAGCCACGAUUAUUGGGUCUAAAGCGUCCGUAGCCGGCCAGGUAAGUUCUUUGGGAAAUUUAACCGCUCAACGGUUAAGCUUUCAGGGAAUACUGCUUGGCUUGGGACCGGGAGAGGUCAUAGGUACUUCAAGGGUAGGGGUGAAAUCCGUUAAUCCUUGAGGGACCACCAGUAGCGAA
rnacentral:rRNA from 1 species